GGCGGGGUAGCUCAGUCGGUAGAGCAACGGUCUCAUAAUUCGUGUGUCGGCGGUUCGAGUCCGCCCCCCGCUACCA
rnacentral:tRNA from 1 species